rnacentral:lncRNA from 1 species
AAUUUCAUAAAAGUGUCAAACCAUUAAUAUCAUAAGUUACAAUUGAGUGUGAAAACUCUAUUUAUUACAUCCUCGAGACCUGAAGUCACCAUACAAGAACAUCUUGAAUAAAAAAACCGAGUCUAGAAAUAGAAAGAAUAUCCCAAAACAUAACCAAAUGGAAAUUUUCUUAGUCCCAAUAAUAAGAGACUUCAACAUCAUAAGAAGAUUGAAAGAUUGACUCAACACGAUACACACCUCAAAUCAAGUCUGGAUCACUAUUUAGAGUUGAGGUCGUGUCUUAAACACUAGAAGAUGUUCUGAACUCUACAAAAAAGAAGAGUAUUGGAGUAUUAGUACAUCAAUAUUAGUAACCAUCACAGGUCGAUUAACUCAAUAAUGUACAAGUAAGCUAGUUAAACAAGUAUGACGCGAUCAUAAAAAAACUCAUCACUAAUGAAAUUAAUCAGACAAACACAUUAUAAAACAUCAUAUAGUUAUAAUUCACAAGUUCAUUUUCACAGGCAUUCCUAUGUAAACAUUUUCAUCAACCAUUAAUCAUCAUAUAUGUUCAUCAAACUAGAACUCAAUGCAUAUGGAUGGUUGUAUAUAUGCAAGACGUGCUCAUCAUCUCUUACCCUUCUCCUCCUUAUUAUCAACACCAUGAUUUAUCGAUGUGGUACCCGAUCCUUUAUCACAUUGUAUAGUAUUGUAGUGUUGUGGUACUCAACUAUUAUCUCAACACCUUAUCACGAGUCAAUAAAAAUGUAAUAAAGUCAUCAAAUCACAAGUUAUUGUAGAAAUCAAUCAUAGAUGUUUAAAUCACAAACAAGCACAAAGCCAAGAAAGUCUAGCACUACACAAAAUCAUAGCCUACCUUAACUCCUUUGCUCAAAGUCACCUUUAAGUCACACUUUUCACUUUUUAUUUUCGUUCAAUUUGUUCUUGAUCUACACAAUACAAAAUAUACACAUAUUUUAAUAAUUCAUCUCUUUUUAACUACUAGGGAUCAAAACUUAUCAAUUUUAGCGACAACUUACCCAAUUUCAUUAUUUUAAGUUUUCUUAUCAUUUCAAACUCAUGAUUUUUUCUUGAAGUAGCAUAAAUAAUUGUAAUUCUAUUUCCAUUAGUGUUGUCUAACACCAUAGGAUCAUUAUAUAUAGAAUUCAUACACAUUCCCAUCAUUUUUUAUUAAUUCCCAUCAACUAGGGCUAAACCCCCAAAAUACACCAAUAAUCUAUUUUUAGUGCUUUCUAAGGUUAAACAAAGUAAUUUGGUAAUUACUUACCUCCAAAGAUGAACAACUUUGAAAUUCCUUUGAAAAUUGUCUUUCCCUGAAGUCCUAUUGAUUUUUAUUUAAAAAAAUUAGGGAAUAAAAAUGUAUUCUGGGUUUUAAAACUAAAAUGCUUAAUGUGCAUUACUGCUGUAGUGGUUUGCAUCCUUUUACAUGAAGGCCAUCGUUGUGGUUAGGGGUACCUCUGCAACAAUUACUUUUUUUGCCGUAGAUGUCGGGGGCGGAAACUCA